GGAACAGUGUAGCUCAGUGGUAGAGCAUCUUCCUUGUAAGCAGAAGGACCCAAUUCAAUCUCCGAUGGCAUCUCCA